CCCUUUUCCCUUUUCCUGGAUUUUAGGAUAUGAAGUUGCCAGUGCAUCAGAUUUCCUUCCGGUGCUGAACUCCCAGUCCUUGUGGGGGUUGGGGCCCUAAAGGAGUGUGGGAGAAGGAUCUGAAGAAGAACCAGGGGGUCAAGUCUCCACUGAAAGUCCAUUAAAGCAGUUUUUUAAAUGCCAAAAAGCAAUUAACCCAUAGUUCACUCGGAGAGACCUUAAAAUGCCUGGGAUUUCAAGGGUUAAUCUGUUUUUUCUUUAUCUUUAUUUUCCUGACUUUUGCUAUUAUUGUGUUGGGUUUGGUCUUUUGGGAAUGUGGUGUCUAAAGACAGAUAGGGGAGGAAAACAGAGUGCGUAGUGUCCUGGGGCCUUGUGAAAGGAGCAGAGAGGGUAGAUGUAAUUUUCCCAUACCAUGGCCUUGGCUUCUAUUGUAGUGCGCUACUUACAGAGGAGGAAGGACAGACUGCCCUGUUGGUAUGGUGCAUACUUUAUCAUAACUGCAUCUCUUUUUAACCAAACUCAGUAGCUGCCUAUGAUGCCCCAUCCCCAAGGCUAUGAAGGAUUUGGUGAUUUCUUGUUACUAGAUUUGAAACCUGAGUGCAAGUAUGUGUGUGUGUGUGUGUGGUGUGUGUGUGUUGUGUGUGUGCGCACGUGCGCGUGCGUGUGCACGCCCACACUUAUUAAAUGGAAAGACCUUAAGCAAUCAAGAAUUUACUGG
rnacentral:lncRNA from 1 species